UGUGAGCUUCUUUGUGGGUGCUUAGAAUCAAACCUAGGUCCUCUGGAAGAGGAGCAAGUGCUCUUAAC
rnacentral:miRNA from 1 species